rnacentral:rRNA from 1 species
ACUCCUACGGGAGGCAGCAGUGGGGAAUAUUGCACAAUGGGCGCAAGCCUGAUGCAGCCAUGCCGCGUGUGUGAAGAAGGCCUUCGGGUUGUAAGCANCUUUCAUGUCGUGAGGAAGGUAGUGUAGUUAAUAGCUGCAUUAUUUGACGUUAGCGACAGAAGAAGCACCGGCUAACUCCGUGCCAGCAGCCGCGGUAAUACGGAGGGUGCGAGCGUUAAUCGGAAUUACUGGGCGUAAAGCGCAUGCAGGUGGCUUGUUAAGUCAGAUGUGAAAGCCGGGCGUCAACCUCGGAAUUGCAUUUGAAACUGGCAGACUAGAGUACUGUAGA